rnacentral:rRNA from 1 species
GCAGCUGACGCAGCGACGCCGCGUGAGUGAGAGCUCGGAUCGUAAACCUCUGUCGCCGGGACGACCCCGGUCACGCUGUCCUUGCGGCCGACCCAGCCCCUCCUAACACAACCCCACCGCAGUAUACAA